AGUGUCAGGCUGCCCCUAAGGACAGGGAAGUCCUGGGGAGAAAGCAUUUUGCCUAGAUGAACACAUGAAUUCAACAUUCGUGUGCAUGCUUCCGCUGGGAAGUUAUCAAUUCCAAACCAGAUGAAAGACCCAGGCUCAGCCACUGUAUUGCAGAAUCAUGGAUGAAUUUCAGCAUAUUUCUUCAAGAAAUGUCUCUUUUUAAACAGCAGAGCCCUGGCAAGUUUUGUCUCCUGGUCUGUAGUGUGUGCACAUUUUUUACGAUCUUGGGAAGUUACAUUCCUGGGGUUAUACUCAGCUAUCUACUGUUACUGUGUGCAUUUUUGUGUCCAUUGUUUAGAUGUAAUGAUAUUGGACAAAAAAUUUACAGCAAAAUUAAGUCAGUUCUGCUGAAACUGGAUUUUGGAAUUGGGGAAUAUAUUAAUCAGAAGAAACGUGAGAGAUCUGAAGCAGAUAAAGAAAAAAGUCACAAAGAUGACAGUGAAUUAGACUUUUCAGCUCUUUGUCCUAAGAUUAGCCUCACAGUUGCUGCCAAAGAGUUAUCUGUGUCUGACACAGACGUCUCAGAGGUAUCCUGGACUGAUAAUGGGACCUUCAACCUUUCAGAAGGAUACACUCCACAGACAGACACUUCUGAUGAUCU
rnacentral:sRNA from 1 species